CACGUUUGUCAAAAAUUCAACCUUAAAAUUAUUAUCUCUUGUUUGAAACCCCUUUGAACCUAUUUAUCUCAUUCAUUGGUUGAUACUCACUACAGGCCUCAAAGUAGAAACUAAUUAUAUCCCUUAAUUUAAGAGGAUGAAAGAGUCUUGUUAGCAAUUGUGUGGGGUUGAAUUAGCAUAUGUUUGUGCUUAAAAGUUGGCAAAG
rnacentral:lncRNA from 1 species